CAGUCGCCGCGGGAAUACGUAGGGUGCAAGCGUUAAUCGGAAUUACUGGGCGUAAAGCGUGCGCAGGCGGUUAUAUAAGACAGAUGUGAAAUCCCCGGGCUCAACCUGGGAACUGCAUUUGUGACUGUAUAGCUAGAGUACGGAAGAGGGGGAUGGAAUUCCGCGUGUAGCAGUGAAAUGCGUAGAUAUGCGGAGGAACACCGAUGGCGAAGGCAAUCCCCUGGGCCUGUACUGACGCUCAUGCACGAAAGCGUGGGGAGCAAACAGGAUUAGAUACCCCUGUAGUCCCUGUCUCUUAUAC
rnacentral:rRNA from 1 species